rnacentral:piRNA from 1 species
CGAUCUCAGCAAGAGGAAUGCGGUAG